rnacentral:rRNA from 1 species
AGUGAACGAUGGCGGCGUGCCUAAUACAUGCAAGUCGAACGGAGUGGCGCAAGGGUGAGUAAUAUAUAGCUAAUCUGCCCCUUGCUGGAGGACAACAGUUAGAAAUGACUGCUAAUACUCCAUAGCAAGGGAUGAGACUAUAUCGUAUCAGCUAGUCGGUGGGGUAACGGCCUACCGAGGCUAUGACGCGUAACUGGUCUGAGAGGAUGAUCAGUCACAUUGUAACUGAGACACGGUCCAAACUCCUACGUGAGGCAGCAGUAGCGUAUAUUGCUCAAUUCGGUAAUCCCUGACGCAGCAACGCCGCGUGGAGGAUGCCACUUUUCUAAGCGUAAACUCCUUUUGUUAGGGAAGCGGUACCUAACUAAUAAGCACCGGCUAGCUCCGUGCCAGCAGCCGCGGUAAUUC